GUGCUGGCUUUGGCAGGGCACGUACUGUAAAGUUGGAAAACUACAGAGAAGCUUACCAUGGUCCCGCACAAGGAUGCCACGCGGAUCUGUGAGGCAUUCCGUUU